AAGGAGCUUGCUCCUUUGACGUUAGCGGCGGACGGGUGAGUAACACGUGGGUAACCUACCUAUAAGACUGGGAUAACUUCGGGAAACCGGAGCUAAUACCGGAUAACAUUUGGAACCGCAUGGUUCUAAAGUGAAAGAUGGUUUUGCUAUCACUUAUAGAUGGACCCGCGCCGUAUUAGCUAGUUGGUAAGGUAACGGCUUACCAAGGCGACGAUACGUAGCCGACCUGAGAGGGUGAUCGGCCACACUGGAACUGAGACACGGUCCAGACUCCUACGGGAGGCAGCAGUAGGGAAUCUUCCGCAAUGGGCGAAAGCCUGACGGAGCAACGCCGCGUGAGUGAUGAAGGGUUUCGGCUCGUAAAACUCUGUUAUUAGGGAAGAACAAAUGUGUAAGUAACUGUGCACGUCUUGACGGUACCUAAUCAGAAAGCCACGGCUAACUACGUGCCAGCAGCCGCGGUAAUACGUAGGUGGCAAGCGUUAUCCGGAAUUAUUGGGCGUAAAGCGCGCGUAGGCGGUUUCUUAAGUCUGAUGUGAAAGCCCACGGCUCAACCGUGGAGGGUCAUUGGAAACUGGGAAACUUGAGUGCAGAAGAGGAAAGUGGAAUUCCAUGUGUAGCGGUGAAAUGCGCAGAGAUAUGGAGGAACA
rnacentral:rRNA from 1 species